rnacentral:rRNA from 1 species
UACGGAGGUGCGAGCGUUGUCCGGAAUCACUGGGCGUAAAGGGCGCGUAGGCGGCUUCUCAAGCGUGUGGUGAAAGUCCGGGGCUCAACCCCGGAUCGGCCGUGCGGACUGGGGAGCUCGAGUUCUGUAGAGGCAGGCGGAAUUCCGGGUGUAGCGGUGGAAUGCGUAGAGAUCCGGAAGAACACCGGUGGCGAAGGCGGCCUGCUGGGCAGUUGCUGACACUGAGGCGCGACAGCGUGGGGAGCAAACAGG